GACUGCUAAUACCGCAUAAUGUCUACGGACCAAAGGGGGCUUCGGGCUCCCGCCUUGAGAGAGGCCCAAGUGAGAUUAGCUAGUUGGUGGGGUUAAAGGCCUACCAAGGCAACGAUCUCUAGCUGUUCUGAGAGGAAGAUCAGCCACACUGGGACUGAGACACGGCCCAGACUCCUACGGGAGGCAGCAGUGGGGAAUAUUGCACAAUGGGGGAAACCCUGAUGCAGCCAUGCCGCGUGUGUGAAGAAGGCCUUCGGGUUGUAAAGCACUUUCAGUUGUGAGGAAAGGUUGGUAGUUAAUACCUGCCAGCUGUGACGUUAACAACAGAAGAAGCACCGGCUAACUCCGUG
rnacentral:rRNA from 1 species